rnacentral:lncRNA from 1 species
AUGAUAUUACUUUUGUGGUACGCAUGUCUAGUCCUUAUUCUCUCCGUCCUUUCGGCGCGGGGGAUCAUUCCAUACGGGCCGACGGAGGUGCAACAACUGAGCCCGUGUAACUCGGUGGUCAAGCUCCCGUCAAAUUUUCAAUCGACGACCAUCUUCCAGCUGGACGCGCUCGACCGCCCCGCGCAGCCGGCCACCGAGGACUUCAACGUCACCAGUUGCGCCUUCAUUUUCGAGGGCCCGCAAAACGCCACGCUCACCUUCCAGCUCUUCGGCGUCACCAUCAUGCGGGACCCCGACUUCCCGAACAACACGGCGCCCUGCUUGGCCACGCCCACCAAGUCAAAUAUCCAGCUCUACGAUUAUACCGCUGACGGCAAUCUGCAAUUGAUCUCCAUCAAUUGUCAAAAUGAGACUGGAGUGAGAGAAUUUCUACCACAGGCAACAUUGGAGUGUUGACCAGCACCAUCAGUGGACAUUUUGCUCUCUCCGUACAAAAAGUCUACGCAGCCCAGGAGCUGGUUGAACCAAUCUUGUCUCUGCCAUUCAAUAGUUUUCCUAAGUUCCCUUCCAUCUAACAUGAACCUCGAACGUUUUACAACCUCUACCAUUAUACAAGUUUUGGGCGUGCCACCAGGGAAAAUGUUAGAAAUACACGUUUUCUAGCUAUUACUGAUCAUGGACAAUUUCUCAUAACUUUACUGAUGUUCGUGAAUCUGAUGGUAAUUUUACUGUGAUGUUUGACUUAUCUUUUUUAAAUAGAAUAGGGGGAAAAAAUCUCUCUUGAAAAUUUAAAACUUGCUCAGGGCGUCCCUUUUGCGUGACGAUGAUUUUGGAAAGUCACAUUGAGUAGUUUUUCCAACUGGGUCCUGUUCGCUCGGAACAUUACUCAUCCAUUAUCAUAAUCACACGGUGCAGUACAUGGAACCAUGCCCAAUAGUAACAUUUACUCAAUGAAGAGUCAUUAACCAAGGAUAUUUUUCAUUUUGUGAAGAAUUCGAAAUUCAAACUCAGAGCCCCACUCUUUGUGGUAUCGAUAAUCGUAAUAAGUAUUGACCCUUUUGUUUCCACUUAGGAAAUAAUUUUCAAUUCGUUUCUUCACUUUUCAUGGUUCACACUAGAGGUGUGUAUGUGUGCUUUUUUUUUAAAAAAAAUGAAAAAUAAAUAUAAAUUGUUUUUAACUUCUCCAGCAUAAGUUUUUAAGAUUAAGUUGAGGAUCCACCAAAUGUUAAGAAAAAAUAUUCAUAAAUUUGCCCUAUUUAAAUAUUUUAUGUGGGGAAAAUUCUACAGUCUCCAAAUUCUCUGAUGGCCUUUUCCGUUAUACCGACAGAAUGAUCUAGUGUCGUUCUUUGCUUUUAACCAUUUACAUGUACUCAAAACCUAGAAUGUAUCGAAUAUCCAGCCCACUGAUUUGGUCUAACCUCGUGUCAUUAGAGAAAAUUGGGUCGUGAGCGUACAUUCAGAAAAUCUCCUUGUAGAUAUCGAAUUUAAGUUCGAUGCACUCAAAGUUAUUGGCAGUUUAGAGUGAAAGUGACCCAGGUAUUAUAUUUUGCACAAUCAAAUCGUGAAUCUUAAAGACAUUCUUUAACUCGAGAAGUGACUUGUUGAAGAUUAUGAAAAGUGUUAAAACCUUCCUGUUCGAGUUCAUAUUUUCUUUGCUUGAACUGAAUUGAAUGUACCAUCACGCUCGUUCUAGAAAUAAACUAAUAAAAUAUAAGAUAAGAAAGAGAUUCUUAAAUAAAACAUAUACAUUUUUAUAAAAAAAAUCAGUCAAAAUUUUCCCCCUCAAAUAUAUAGAACAUGCAACACUACAAAAGUAAUAUCGAUGGCUAUAAGAAACAGUAAUAAUAUAAUGGCUAAUAAUGUAUGAACUAAUAAUAAUACUUUAUCGAUAAAAAAUGACUUGAAACUAGAGUGAAUCAAAGCUGACCUAAAGUUUCGUAAAUCAACUUUCGAAAUAAUGGCUUACCCGCGUGUGCCAUGCCACUGCCGCCGCGCCGCACGCGGCGCGGGCGCCUCCCAGACAAUGGGAAUCUUCAAAUCGCCUUCAAUUCGGCUAUAGGCAAAUUGCAUGACAGUUACGUUAUCCCUCACGGCGCACGGUGGAUCGAGUUAAUAGGAGAGGUCGGACAAAAUUUGGAAACUCUAAACGCUUAUAACUCCGUUUAUACAAAACUUUAACGUUCUAAAAGUGGUUCCAUUGCUUUUCUCGUGUUUCCUGCCAAAAGCACCACUUAAAAUUUGAAAUGUGACGAUAUAAACAUCAAAGUUGCAGUUUCAGUAAAAAAUUCAUGUCCGACCUCUCUAAUUGACUCGAUCCACUGUGCGGCGCGGUGAAACUUGAAAGAAGCACUUCGGAGCCGUAAAAAUGUUAAAUAAUCGUCCCGCUCCCGCGAGGUCACUUUGAAAUCCCAAUGAGCGUAUAGUUGUGAGGGAAUAAUAUCAAAAUUGUGCCCGUCUCAGAAUUCCCAUCACCUAUAACAGCAAAUAUGACCUAAUGAGCUUUUGCCAAAAACUGCCUUCUCUAUACAUAUAGAUAUCGCUUAUAAUUCAAGGGUCAAAUCCGAGAACGCUCCUCCCUGUUUAAGGAGGUUUGGUUUCAAACGAUACUCAUUCGAAAAUCGAGGGUUAAAGAACAAUACCGCCUAACUGACAAUUGGAUGUAUUUCUGUCAAACGGAACUAUGUGCAUUAUGACGUGAGCCCUGUUUUGCAUAUAUUCUUAUGAGUCUCGGGGCUCAUGCCUGAAUGCACAUGGUUCCGUUGACAGAAAUACGUCCAAUUUUGGCGAAAUGAGUUAGCGACUUGCCGUAUUCUUCAGUAUUUAUAUCCAAGCUGAUAUUUUCAGUUUUCCCCAAUUCCGUAUGAGAGUGUUGUAAAGACGCUGUAAUUUAUAAAAAAAAUUGCAAACCCAUCCUCAAAAUUACAAAAAUGGCGAAGUUUCUUCGAAGUUCCUGGAAAGCGUCAGUUUGCAGGUAGGCGGUAUUGUUCCUUAUAGCCCUCGAUAUUACUUUUGUAGCGUUGCAUGUUCUAUAUUUUUGAGGGAAGACAUUUUUACUUAUUUUU